rnacentral:rRNA from 1 species
GACGAACGCUGGCGGCGUGCUUAACACAUGCAAGUCGAACGGAAAUGCCCUGCUUUUGUGGGGUGCUCGAGUGGCGAACGGGUGAGUAACACUUGAGUAACCUGCCCUUGACUUUGGGAUAACUUCAUGAAACUUGGGCUAAUACCGGAUAGGAGCUCCUGCUGCAUGGUGGGGGUUGGACAGUUUCGGCGGUUGGGGAUGGACUCGCGGCUUAUCAGCUUGUUGGUGGGGUAGUGGCUUACCAAGGCUUUGACGGGUAGCCGGCCUGAGAGGGUGACCGGCCACAUUGGGACUGAGAUACGGCCCAGACUCAUACGGGAGGCAGCAGUGGGGAAGAUUGCACAAUGGGAGGAAGCAUGAUGCAGCAACGCCGCGUGCGGGAUGACGGCCUUCGGGUUGUAAACCGAUUUCGCCUGUGACGAAGCGUGAGUGACGGUAAUGGGUAAAGAAGCACCGGCUAACUACGUG